GAAAGAACAACUUGUCAGGUGGUGCAUUGGAGACUGAUGUGUUCCUGUCCUGUCUUUUCAUAAUACUAUUGCAGAUCAACAUAAAAGCCUAAAAGACAGCCGUGGUGUCGCUCUUCAUUUCUUGGUUCUCCUGUGGUGCAUAAGAAACCCGCUACAGAUUGGUGCCGUGACCGGAUCAACAGAUCAGCUGCAGCAGAUCGCCGGGGGACCCCUAAACAGAACUGGAUCGACAUCACACGUUUAAAACAUUUGAGGGCAAGGAUAUAAAUUUGUACUCAGGAUGAAAUUCACCUCGACAAAGCUAACCGAAUCGGAGAUCUUCAAGCAGGUUCGUGAGGAACUGAUCAGACGAGGGCUGCCAGGGGACUUUACAGUGCGAUUGAGAAUCAUUCAGAGCUAUUUGACAGGGUGAAGAGGAGGACACUGGAGAGCAAACACAGACAGAACAGAAGGCAAACCUGAUCACAAAGAUAUGUUACACAAAUACUUUACAAUAGAUUAUCUUCCAGAUUACACUGUUACCCCAUGACCUGCUGUAACUAUGAAGAAUUAAAUAUCUAUCUACUUUUAGUUGUUGGAAAAUGCAAUAACCAUAAUAAAUGUUCUGUAAUAACUUUGAAAUGAAACCAUAUAGGUUUAUGACUAUAUUUUACCUAGAAUUGUGUGUUUAUUAUAGAUAGGAAUUAUAUUUUGACAAAUCAUGGAAAAUGAUGUUGCAUCUUUUGAAAAUAAAAGGUUUUGUUCUUCUGAA